rnacentral:rRNA from 1 species
GGUUAAGCGACUAAGCGUACACGGUGGAUGCCCUGGCAGUCAGAGGCGAUGAAGGACGUGCUAAUCUGCGAUAAGCGCCGGUAAGGUGAUAUGAACCGUUAUAACCGGCGAUUUCCGAAUGGGGAAACCCAGUGUGAUUCGUCACACUAUCAUUAACUGAAUCCAUAGGUUAAUGAGGCGAACCGGGGGAACUGAAACAUCUAAGUACCCCGAGGAAAAGAAAUCAACCGAGAUUCCCCCAGUAGCGGCGAGCGAACGGGGAGGAGCCCAGAGCCUGAAUCAGCAUGUGUGUUAGUGGAAGCGUCUGGAAAGGCGCGCGAUACAGGGUGACAGCCCCGUACACAAAAGCGCAUGUGCUGUGAGCUCGAUGAGUAGGGCGGGACACGUGGUAUCCUGUCUGAAUAUGGGGGGACCAUCCUCCAAGGCUAAAUACUCCUGACUGACCGAUAGUGAACCAGUACCGUGAGGGAAAGGCGAAAAGAACCCCGGCGAGGGGAGUGAAAAAGAACCUGAAACCGUGUACGUACAAGCAGUGGGAGCACCCUUUGGGGUGUGACUGCGUACCUUUUGUAUAAUGGGUCAGCGACUUAUAUUCUGUAGCAAGGUUAACCGUAUAGGGGAGCCGCAGGGAAACCGAGUCUUAACCGGGCGUUAAGUUGCAGGGUAUAGACCCGAAACCCGGUGAUCUAGCCAUGGGCAGGUUGAAGGUUGGGUAACACUAACUGGAGGACCGAACCGACUAAUGUUGAAAAAUUAGCGGAUGACCUGUGGCUGGGGGUGAAAGGCCAAUCAAACCGGGAGAUAGCUGGUUCUCCCCGAAAGCUAUUUAGGUAGCGCCUCGUGAAUUCAUCUCCGGGGGUAGAGCACUGUUUCGGCUAGGGGGCCAUCCCGGCUUACCAACCCGAUGCAAACUGCGAAUACCGGAGAAUGUUAUCACGGGAGACACACGGCGGGUGCUAACGUCCGUCGUGAAGAGGGAAACAACCCAGACCGCCAGCUAAGGUCCCAAAGUCAUGGUUAAGUGGGAAACGAUGUGGGAAGGCCCAGACAGCCAGGAUGUUGGCUUAGAAGCAGCCAUCAUUUAAAGAAAGCGUAAUAGCUCACUGGUCGAGUCGGCCUGCGCGGAAGAUGUAACGGGGCUAAACCAUGCACCGAAGCUGCGGCAGCGACACUGUGUGUUGUUGGGUAGGGGAGCGUUCUGUAAGCCUGUGAAGGUGGCCUGUGAGGGUUGCUGGAGGUAUCAGAAGUGCGAAUGCUGACAUAAGUAACGAUAAAGCGGGUGAAAAGCCCGCUCGCCGGAAGACCAAGGGUUCCUGUCCAACGUUAAUCGGGGCAGGGUGAGUCGACCCCUAAGGCGAGGCCGAAAGGCGUAGUCGAUGGGAAACGGGUUAAUAUUCCCGUACUUGGUGUUACUGCGAAGGGGGGACGGAGAAGGCUAUGUUGGCCGGGCGACGGUUGUCCCGGUUUAAGCGUGUAGGUGUGUGUUCCAGGUAAAUCCGGUUCACUUUAACACUGAGGCGUGAUGACGAGGCACUACGGUGCUGAAGCAACAAAUGCCCUGCUUCCAGGAAAAGCCUCUAAGCAUCAGGUAACAUCAAAUCGUACCCCAAACCGACACAGGUGGUCAGGUAGAGAAUACCAAGGCGCUUGAGAGAACUCGGGUGAAGGAACUAGGCAAAAUGGUGCCGUAACUUCGGGAGAAGGCACGCUGACACGUAGGUGAAGUGAUUUACUCACGGAGCUGAAGUCAGUCGAAGAUACCAGCUGGCUGCAACUGUUUAUUAAAAACACAGCACUGUGCAAACACGAAAGUGGACGUAUACGGUGUGACGCCUGCCCGGUGCCGGAAGGUUAAUUGAUGGGGUCAGCGCAAGCGAAGCUCCUGAUCGAAGCCCCGGUAAACGGCGGCCGUAACUAUAACGGUCCUAAGGUAGCGAAAUUCCUUGUCGGGUAAGUUCCGACCUGCACGAAUGGCGUAAUGAUGGCCAGGCUGUCUCCACCCGAGACUCAGUGAAAUUGAACUCGCUGUGAAGAUGCAGUGUACCCGCGGCAAGACGGAAAGACCCCGUGAACCUUUACUAUAGCUUGACACUGAACAUUGAGCCUUGAUGUGUAGGAUAGGUGGGAGGCUUUGAAGUGUGGACGCCAGUCUGCAUGGAGCCGACCUUGAAAUACCACCCUUUAAUGUUUGAUGUUCUAACGUGGACCCGUAAUCCGGGUUGCGGACAGUGUCUGGUGGGUAGUUUGACUGGGGCGGUCUCCUCCUAAAGAGUAACGGAGGAGCACGAAGGUUGGCUAAUCCUGGUCGGACAUCAGGAGGUUAGUGCAAUGGCAUAAGCCAGCUUGACUGCGAGCGUGACGGCGCGAGCAGGUGCGAAAGCAGGUCAUAGUGAUCCGGUGGUUCUGAAUGGAAGGGCCAUCGCUCAACGGAUAAAAGGUACUCCGGGGAUAACAGGCUGAUACCGCCCAAGAGUUCAUAUCGACGGCGGUGUUUGGCACCUCGAUGUCGGCUCAUCACAUCCUGGGGCUGAAGUAGGUCCCAAGGGUAUGGCUGUUCGCCAUUUAAAGUGGUACGCGAGCUGGGUUUAGAACGUCGUGAGACAGUUCGGUCCCUAUCUGCCGUGGGCGCUGGAGAACUGAGGGGGGCUGCUCCUAGUACGAGAGGACCGGAGUGGACGCAUCACUGGUGUUCGGGUUGUCAUGCCAAUGGCACUGCCCGGUAGCUAAAUGCGGAAGAGAUAAGUGCUGAAAGCAUCUAAGCACGAAACUUGCCCCGAGAUGAGUUCUCCCUGAGACUUAGAGUCUCCUGAAGGAACGUUGAAGACGACGACGUUGAUAGGCCGGGUGUGUAAGCGCAGCGAUGCGUUGAGCUAACCGGUACUAAUGAACCGUGAGGCUUAACCUU